rnacentral:lncRNA from 1 species
GGGUGCCAGAAGGAUGUGACUUGAUUCUAAACAUGUGUACUUAGGUGGCGACUUUAGUUCUUGAGGAGGUGAUGAUUCUAGAGAGGAGGAAGCUAUUGGAGCAGGCAUUGAUUCAUAUUUUUCAACCCACGAGGGAGUGGUACUAAAAUUGGGUGGCUCUAAUAAUGGGUUCACAUUUUCAGUAUACCCAUCUACAUUAAAAUCGUUCACCCCGAAAGGAUCCCAAUGUGUAUGCAUUGGGUCCUGAGAAAUAAUUCUAGGGGUAGCUUCCUUUAUCACUUCUUCAAGUACUUCCACCU